rnacentral:rRNA from 1 species
UUCGCCCUUAGAGUUUGAUCCUGGCUCAGGACGAACGCUGGCGGCGCGCCUAACACAUGCAAGUCGAACGAGCGAGAGAGAGCUUGCUUUCUCAAGCGAGUGGCGAACGGGUGAGUAACGCGUGAGGAACCUGCCUCAAAGAGGGGGACAACAGUUGGAAACGACUGCUAAUACCGCAUAAGCCCACGGGUCGGCAUCGACCAGAGGGAAAAGGAGCAAUCCGCUUUGAGAUGGCCUCGCGUCUGAUUAGCUAGUUGGUGAGGUAACGGCCCACCAAGGCAACGAUCGGUAGCCGGACUGAGAGGUUGAACGGCCACAUUGGGACUGAGACACGGCCCAGACUCCUACGGGAGGCAGCAGUGGGGAAUAUUGCACAAUGGGGGAAACCCUGAUGCAGCGACGCCGCGUGGAGGAAGAAGGUCUUCGGAUUGUAAACUCCUGUUGUUGAGGAAGAUAAUGACGGUACUCAACAAGGAAGUGACGGCUAACUACGUGCCAGCAGCCGCGGUAAAACGUAGGUCACAAGCGUUGUCCGGAAUUACUGGGUGUAAAGGGAGCGCAGGCGGGAAGACAAGUUGGAAGUGAAAUCCAUGGGCUCAACCCAUGAACUGCUUUCAAAACUGUUUUUCUUGAGUAGUGCAGAGGUAGGCGGAAUUCCCGGUGUAGCGGUGGAAUGCGUAGAUAUCGGGAGGAACACCAGUGGCGAAGGCGGCCUACUGGGCACCAACUGACGCUGAGGCUCGAAAGUGUGGGUAGCAAACAGGAUUAGAUACCCUGGUAGUCCACACCGUAAACGAUGAUUACUAGGUGUUGGAGGAUUGACCCCUUCAGUGCCGCAGUUAACACAAUAAGUAAUCCACCUGGGGAGUACGACCGCAAGGUUGAAACUCAAAGGAAUUGACGGGGCCCGCACAAGCAGUGGAGUAUGUGGUUUAAUUCGACGCAACGCGAAGAACCUUACCAAGUCUUGACAUCCCUUGACGAACAUAGAAAUAUGUUUUCUCUUCGGAGCAAGGAGACAGGUGGUGCAUGGUUGUCGUCAGCUCGUGUCGUGAGAUGUUGGGUUAAGUCCCGCAACGAGCGCAACCCUUACUGUCAGUUACUACGCAAGAGGACUCUGGCAGGACUGCCGUUGACAAAACGGAGGAAGGUGGGGAUGACGUCAAAUCAUCAUGCCCUUUAUGACUUGGGCUACACACGUACUACAAUGGCGUUAAACAAAGAGAAGCAAGACCGCGAGGUGGAGCAAAACUCAGAAACAACGUCCCAGUUCGGACUGCAGGCUGCAACUCGCCUGCACGAAGUCGGAAUUGCUAGUAAUCGUGGAUCAGCAUGCCACGGUGAAUACGUUCCCGGGCCUUGCACACACCGCCCGUCA